GACGAACGCUGGCGGCGUGCCUAACACAUGCAAGUCGAACGAGAAACCGGUGCUUGCACCGGUGGACAGUGGCGAACGGGUGAGUAACACGUGAGAAACCUGCCCCGGAGACCGGGACAACCAUUGGAAACGAUGGCUAAUACCGGAUGCCCUCAGCUGGCCGCAUGGCCUACUGAGGAAAUGCUCUGGCGCUCUGGGAGGGUCUCGCGGCCUAUCAGCUAGUUGGCGGGUAACGGCCUACCAAGGCAUCGACGGGUAGCUGGUCUGAGAGGACGAUCAGCCACACUGGGACUGAGACACGGCCCAGACUUCUACGGAAGGCAGCAGUGGGGAAUAUUGCGCAAUGGGCGAAAGCCUGACGCAGCAACGCCGCGUGAGGGAUGACAGCUUUCGGGUUGUAAACCUCUUUCAGUGAUGACGAAAAUGACGGUAAUCACAGAAGAAGGUCCGGCCAACUACGUG
rnacentral:rRNA from 1 species